GCACAAAGAAUUGGUGGUAUCUUUGAAGGUUUAAUAGCAGUGGAUGAUGUAGGGGAGAUACAAGGGGAUUGACCAUCCUUCUUUCGCAUCAAAGUCUGGGUAAAUGUCACAAAACCACUGCUAAAGGGUUUCUUCCAUUCCAAAGAGGAGAAUAAAAGGGUGUCGAUCCAAUUUAAAUACAAAAAAUUACCAACCUUUUGUUUCCAAUGUGGGAGAAUUGGCUACAUACUUAGAGUUUGCCCAGAAAGGAGAGAACGGGAUACAGAAGAAGGGGAACAACCAAGGCAAUUGAAGUUUGGACCUUGGCUCAUUGCAAAAAUCCAGCAACCCUCCUCCAUAAUUCAGGCAACGUCAAAGGGGUUACCU
rnacentral:misc_RNA from 1 species